rnacentral:rRNA from 1 species
UGGGGAAUAUUGCACAAUGGGGGAAACCCUGAUGCAGCGACGCCGCGUGAAGGAAGAAGUAUUUCGGUAUGUAAACUUCUAUCAGCAGGGAAGAAAAUGACGGUACCUGACUAAGAAGUCCCGGCUAACUACGUGCCAGCAGCCGCGGUAAUACGUAGGGGGCAAGCGUUAUCCGGAUUUACUGGGUGUAAAGGGAGCGUAGGCGGCAGGGCAAGCCAGAUGUGAAAGGCGGGGGCUCAACCCCCGGACUGCAUUUGGAACUGUCCGGCUGGAGUGUUGGAGAGGUAAGCGGAAUUCCUAGUGUAGCGGUGAAAUGCGUAGAUAUUAGGAGGAACACCAGUGGCGAAGGCGGCUUACUGGACAAUAACUGACGCUGAGGCUCGAAAGCGUGGGGAGCAAACAGG